UGAAUAUCUCAAAACUGGCGGAGUCAGUGGAAAACCACGAGGGAUUGAGAGUAUUAUAAUGAUUAGCCGACCGCCUGGGCGCUUACA
rnacentral:ncRNA from 2 species